UACGUAGGGACCGAGCGUUGUCCGGAUUCAUUGGGCGUAAAGAGCUCGUAGGCGGCUGUUCAAGUCGAACGUGAAAACUCGGAGCUCAACUCCGAGCCUGCGUUCGAUACUGGACGGCUAGAGUCUGGUAGGGGGAUCUGGAAUUCCUGGUGUAGCGGUGGAAUGCGCAGAUAUCAGGAGGAACACCGGUGGCGAAGGCGGCGAGCUGGCCUGUACCUGACGCUGAGGCGCGACAGCGUGGGGAGCAAACAGG
rnacentral:rRNA from 1 species